CUCAACACGGAGCCUUGUCUCGUUCUUGGGGGGAUUCACUGUAUGCUGUUAGAGACUGAUUGCCAGGAGGGUAAGCUGAUUGUCUGCUUUUCCUGUUCGUCUGCUAGCAGCUAUUUGGGAGGUUCCAGUUCGGGAGUUGGAGUGCUAUUUUGUAUCCAGUUUGGGAGUUUGGUGUUCUGCAGUAGCUGUGCCUAUAUCUCUG